rnacentral:rRNA from 1 species
AACGAACGCUGGCGGCAGGCUUGACACAUGCAAGUCGAGCGCCCCGCAAGGGGAGCGGCAGACGGGUGAGUAACGCGUGGGAAUCUACCUUUUGCUACGGGAUAGCUCCGGGAAACUGGAAUUAAUACCGUAUGUGCCCUUUGGGGGAAAGAUUUAUCGGCAAAGGAUGAGCCCGCGUUGGAUUAGCUAGUUGGUGGGGUAAAGGCCUACCAAGGCGACGAUCCAUAGCUGGUCUGAGAGGAUGACCAGCCACACUGGGACUGAGACACGGCCCAGACCCCUACGGGAGGCAGGAGGGGGGAAAUUUGGAAGAGGGGCGAAAGCAGGGUCCAGCCAUGCCGGGGGAGGGAGGAGGGCCCUAGGGUUGUAAAGCUCUUUCCCCGGGGACGAAAAUGCGGGUAAGCGGAAAAGAAGCCCCGGCAAACUUCGUGCCAGCCGCCGUGGUAA